AGCAAUAUUGAUAUCAAUCACAUAGCAUUAGACAAGCUAGAAAAGUUAUUGGUAAUACGUUUGACUGCCGGCUUGGGCUCGAGCUUUGUUGUGGUGAUAGACGGGAUAACAGUUGAUGGUGAACCGUGUGUUGGAUGAUCUUAAGGAAACAGUGUAACCAGUAAGCACUGAUUUUGAAUUCAGACUCCACUGUGAAUGGCUGCUCAUAGUUAGAAUUCUGACUCGAUGCAACCAUUUGUUGCCGU